AAUGCAUUCACAUUUCUUCCAUUAAAAGGAUAAAAUCGAAACGAUGUCGUCAAACUCGCCGUGCGCCGCGUGCAAGUGCCUCCGGCGGAAGUGCACGCAGGAGUGCGUGUUCGCGCCGUACUUCCCGCCGGACAAUCCGCAGAAGUUCACCAACGUGCACAAGGUGUUCGGCGCCAGCAACGUCUCGAAGCUGCUCAACGAGCUGAGCGCCUCGCAGCGCGAGGACGCGGUCAAUUCGCUGGCGUACGAGGCCGAGCACCGCCUCCGCGACCCGAUCUAUGGCUGCGUCGGCUUCAUCUCCCUCCUCCAGCAGCGGCUCAGCCAGCUCCACGUCAAUCUGGAGAACGCCAAGAAGGAAUUGGCGUCCUACAUCGGCCCGUCCGGGAUGGCCCCAAUGCUGAGCCAUCCCGGAUUCGCCCAACAGCACGCCCUGCAGCCCUAUCAUCAGCUCAUCCCCCAAAAUGUGCCCGCGAUGAUGGGGAUGCAGCUCGUGCUGCGUGACCAACAACAACAACAACUCUUAAUCCUCGAGCAAGAUCAACAUCAACAACAACUAAUGAUACGAGAUCAGGCGCCACCACCACAACAACAACAACAACCACAUCUGGUGGCGCAGCAGCAGUAUCUGGAGGUGGCUCGGGAGCAAGAAAUGAUGCAACAUCAUAACCGGAGCAAUGAAUUUAUGAGAUUCAACAGCGAGGGGGGAGGAGGAGGGGCAGUGACCGCCACGGGAUUAAACCAGAUUAGCAGCGGUGGUGGGGCAAUGCAGCAGCCGUCGUUGACAUUGGGGAGCUCUUACGAAGCAAGCCACCAACAAUUUCAGCAUCCCGAGCAGGAGCACGAGUACGAGCAAGGGCAGCUGCAUCCGCUCCAUCUACUGCAGCUCCAGCAGCUGCAGGAGUACAUCGAGGCGCAGCAGGACAACGAGCGCCGGAUGCAGAAGGGAAAGGGGAAGACCGACCCUUGUAAUGGCCCUUCCUGUUAAUCAAUCUUCUAAUUCCCAAGCAUACAUUUUCACAUGCCCUCUCUCACCCUUAUUCCAGAAAAUUGGAUAGAGUAAUUAGCUAGCAAAAGGGGAGAGAGAUGAUACAUAGAUGAGGAGUAGAGCUAUAGACAAAUCGUGGAGGUAUUCGCAUGUACGUAAGUCACCAGUAUUUUUUCUACUAUUAGAUUUGAUGGAAUUUAACAGUUUGUAGUUGAGGAGUUGAUACAUUAGAAAAGUAGAAGUAGGAUUUAAUGCUAGUGUUUAAUUUCAGUUUACAUUUUCAAAGGGGUUACUUGUUUUUGCCGCAAU